CGCUGGCGGCGGCCUACACAUGCAAGUCGAGCGGUAGAGAGAAGCUUGCUUCUCUUGAGAGCGGCGGACGGGUGAGUAAUACCUGGGAAUCUGCCUGAUAGUGGGGGAUAACGUUCGGAAACGGACGCUAAUACCGCAUACGUCCUACGGGAGAAAGCAGGGGAUCUUCGGACCUUGCGCUAUCAGAUGAGCCCAGGUCGGAUUAGCUUGUUGGUGAGGUAACGGCUCACCAAGGCGACGAUCCGUAACUGGUCUGAGAGGAUGAUCAGUCACACUGGAACUGAGACACGGUCCAGACUCCUACGGGAGGCAGCAGUGGGGAAUAUUGGACAAUGGGCGAAAGCCUGAUCCAGCCAUGCCGCGUGUGUGAAGAAGGUCUUCGGAUUGUAAAGCACUUUAAGUUGGGAGGAAGGGUUGUAGUUUAAUACGCUGCAAUCUUGACGUUACCGACAGAAUAAGCACCGGCUAACUCUGUGCCAGCAGCCGCGGUAAUACAGAGGGUGCAAGCGUUAAUCGGAAUUACUGGGCGUAAAGCGCGCGUAGGUGGCUAAGUAAGAUGGGUGUGAAAUCCCCGGGCUCAACCUGGGAACUGCAUCCAUAACUGCUUAGCUAGAGUACGGUAGAGGGUAGUGGAAUUUCCUGUGUAGCGGUGAAAUGCGUAGAUAUAGGAAGGAACACCCAGUGGCGAAGGCGACUACCUGGGACUGAUACUGGACACUGAGGUGCGAAAGCGUGGGGAGCAAACAGGAUUAGAUACCCUGGUAGUCCACGCCGUAAACGAUGUCA
rnacentral:rRNA from 1 species